UACGUAGGGGGCGAGCGUUGUCCGGAAUCAUUGGGCGUAAAGCGCGUGUAGGCGGCUCGGUAAGUCUGCUGUGAAAGUCCAGGGCCCAACCCUGGGAUGCCGGUGGAUACUGUCGAGCUCGAGUCCGGAAGAGGCGAGUGGAAUUCCUGGUGCAGCGGUGAAAUGCGCAGAUAUCAGGAGGAACACCAAUGGCGAAGGCAGCUCGCUGGGACGUGACUGACGCUGAGACGCGAAAGCGUGGGGAGCAAACAGG
rnacentral:rRNA from 1 species